rnacentral:sRNA from 1 species
UUCCUGGUAGCCUUCCUGUAGGUGAAGCAGCACCAGCAGCAUCCAUGGCCUGUCUUUUGGCUUAACACUUAUCUCCUUUGGCUUCGGCAGCGGACGGAAUAGACCUCAGCAGCGGCGUGGUGAGGACUUAGCUGGGACCUGGAAUCGUAUCCUCCUGUGUUUUUUCAGACUCCUUGGAAAUUAAGGAAUGCAAUUCUGCCACCAUGAUGGAAGGAUUGAAAAAACGUACAAGGAAGGCCUUUGGAAUACGGAAGAAAGAAAAGGACACUGAUUCUACAGGUUCACCAGAUAGAGAUGGAAUUAAGAAAAGCAAUGGAGCACCAAAUGGAUUUUAUGCAGAAAUUGAUUGGGAAAGAUAUAACUCACCUGAGCUGGAUGAAGAAGGCUACAGCAUCAGACCCGAAGAACCCGGCUCUACCAAAGGAAAGCACUUUUAUUCUUCGAGUGAAUCGGAAGAAGAAGAAGAAUCACAUAAGAAAUUUAAUAUCAAGAUUAAACCAUUGCAAUCUAAAGACAUUCUUAAGAAUGCUGCAACUGUAGACGAAUUGAAGGCAUCAAUAGGCAACAUCGCACUUUCCCCAUCACCAGUGGGUGCAAUUAAAAGGAACUUAUCCAGUGAAGAAGUGGCAAGACCCAGGCGUUCCACACCAACUCCAGAACUUAUAAGCAAAAAGCCUCCAGAUGACACUACGGCCCUUGCUCCUCUCUUUGGCCCACCACUAGAAUCAGCUUUUGAUGAACAGAAGACAGAAGUUCUUUUAGAUCAGCCUGAGAUAUGGGGUUCAGGCCAACCAAUUAAUCCAAGCAUGGAGUCGCCAAAGUUAACAAGGCCUUUUCCCACUGGAA